rnacentral:rRNA from 1 species
AGCUCCAAUAGCGUAUAGCUAAUUUGUUGUGGUUAAAAAGCUCGUAGUUGGAUUUCGGCGGGUAUUGGGCGGUUUGAAUUUCUUCCAUACUGAAUUUUUUUCCCGUGUGUUUUUCCAGAAUUUUACGGGUGACCUUAACCGAUUGUCCGUUAGAGCUGGCUGAUUUACUUUGAAAAAAUUAGAGUGCUCAAAGCAAGCUUGACUGCUUGAAUAUUUGUGCAUGGAAUAAUAGAGUAGGAAAUCGUUUCUAUUUUGUUGACUUUAGGAAAUCGAUUUAAUGAUUAAUAGGGAUAGUCGGGGGCAUUUGUAUUCAAACGACAGAGGUGAAAUUCUUGGACCGUUUGAAGACAAACUACUGCGAAAGCAUUUGCCAAGAAUGUUUUCA